rnacentral:rRNA from 1 species
GUUAGUGGAAGCGUCUGGAAAGGCGCGCGAUACAGGGUGACAGCCCCGUACACAAAAGCGCAUGUGCUGUGAGCUCGAUGAGUAGGGCGGGACACGUGGUAUCCUGUCUGAAUAUGGGGGGACCAUCCUCCAAGGCUAAAUACUCCUGACUGACCGAUAGUGAACCAGUACCGUGAGGGAAAGGCGAAAAGAACCCCGGCGAGGGGAGUGAAAAAGAACCUGAAACCGUGUACGUACAAGCAGUGGGAGCACCCUUUGGGGUGUGACUGCGUACCUUUUGUAUAAUGGGUCAGCGACUUAUAUUCUGUAGCAAGGUUAACCGAAUAGGGGAGCCGGAGGGAAACCGAGUCUUAACCGGGCGUUAAGUUGCAGGGUAUAGACCCGAAACCCGGUGAUCUAGCCAUGGGCAGGUUGAAGGUUGGGUAACACUAACUGGAGGACCGAACCGACUAAUGUUGAAAAAUUAGCGGAUGACCUGUGGCUGGGGGUGAAAGGCCAAUCAAACCGGGAGAUAGCUGGUUCUCCCCGAAAGCUAUUUAGGUAGCGCCUCGUGAAUUCAUCUCCGGGGGUAGAGCACUGUUUCGGCUAGGGGGCCAUCCCGGCUUACCAACCCGAUGCAAACUGCGAAUACCGGAGAAUGUUAUCACGGGAGACACACGGCGGGUGCUAACGUCCGUCGUGAAGAGGGAAACAACCCAGACCGCCAGCUAAGGUCCCAAAGUCAUGGUUAAGUGGGAAACGAUGUGGGAAGGCCCAGACAGCCAGGAUGUUGGCUUAGAAGCAGCCAUCAUUUAAAGAAAGCGUAAUAGCUCACUGGUCGAGUCGGCCUGCGCGGAAGAUGUAACGGGGCUAAACCAUGCACCGAAGCUGCGGCAGCGACGCUGAUGCGUUGUUGGGUAGGGGAGCGUUCUGUAAGCCUGCGAAGGUGGCCUGUGAGGGUUGCUGGAGGUAUCAGAAGUGCGAAUGCUGACAUAAGUAACGAUAAAGCGGGUGAAAAGCCCGCUCGCCGGAAGACCAAGGGUUCCUGUCCAACGUUAAUCGGGGCAGGGUGAGUCGACCCCUAAGGCGAGGCCGAAAGGCGUAGUCGAUGGGAAACGGGUUAAUAUUCCCGUACUUGGUGUUACUGCGAAGGGGGGACGGAGAAGGCUAUGUUGGCCGGGCGACGGUUGUCCCGGUUUAAGCGUGUAGGUGUGUGUUCCAGGUAAAUCCGGUU